AUUGAACGCUGGCGGCAGGCCUAACACAUGCAAGUCGAGCGGAUGAGAAGAGCUUGCUCUUCGAGUUAGCGGCGGACGGGUGAGUAAUGCCUAGGAAUCUGCCUGGUAGUGGGGGACAACGUUUCGAAAGGAACGCUAAUACCGCAUACGUCCUACGGGAGAAAGCAGGGGACCUUCGGGCCUUGCGCUAUCAGAUGAGCCUAGGUCGGAUUAGCUAGUUGGUGAGGUAAUGGCUCACCAAGGCGACGAUCCGUAACUGGUCUGAGAGGAUGAUCAGUCACACUGGAACUGAGACACGGUCCAGACUCCUACGGGAGGCAGCAGUGGGGAAUAUUGGACAAUGGGCGAAAGCCUGAUUCAGCCAUGCCGCGUGUGUGAAGAAGGUCUUCGGAUUGUAAAGCACUUUAAGUUGGGAGGAAGGGCAGUAAGCGAAUACCUUGCUGUUUUGACGUUACCAACAGAAUAAGCACCGGCUAACUCUGUGCCAGCAGCCGCGGUAACAC
rnacentral:rRNA from 1 species